rnacentral:rRNA from 1 species
UACAGAGGUCCCAAACGUUGGUCGGAUUCAUUGGGCGUAAAGGGUGCGUAGGCGGCGGGGUAAGUCAGGUGUGAAAUCCCGGAGCUCAACUCCGGAACUGCACUUGAUACUGCCUUGCUCGAGUACUGGAGAGGAGACUGGAAUUUACGGCGUAGCAGUGAAAUGCGUAGAUAUCGUAAGGAAGACCAGUGGCGAAGGCGAGUCUCUGGACAGUUACUGACGCUGAGGCACGAAGGCCAGGGGAGCAAACGGG